CCCUUAGACGUUCUGGGCCGCACGCGCGCUACACUGACGAAGGCAACGAGCUUUCCUUUACCGAAAGGUACGGGUAAUCUUUUGAAACUUCGUCGUGCUGGGGAUAGAUCCUUGCAAUUUUUGAUCUUAAACGAGGAAUGCCUAGUAGGCGCAAGUCAUCAACUUGCGUUGAUUACGUCCCUGCCCUUUGUACACACCGCCCGUCGCUACUACCGAUUGAAUGGUUUAGUGAGGCCUUCGGAUCCGCGACUCGUUUGUGGAGAAGUUGGACAAACUCAGUCAUUUAGAGGAAGUAAAAGUCGUAACA
rnacentral:rRNA from 1 species